rnacentral:lncRNA from 1 species
UCUCGACAUGGCAGGAGCUGAGGCAGCUGCAGGAGCAGAUCCGGAGCCUGGAGGAAGAGAAGGCAGCUGUGACUGAGGCAGUGCGGGCCCUGCUGGCAAACCAGGACAGUGGUGAAGUGCAGCAGGUACUGUGAAGAGUUGAUGUCCUAUCCAGGGUUGGGGGUGGGCAGGGAGGAUACCCUGCCAGUCACGAUUCUACUAUUGUAACAGAAAACAACUCAAACAGGUUUAAGGGGAAAAAAAAAAUAGGCUCUAUUGAUGCAUGAAACUAAAACUGGCUUCAGGUGCGGCUGGAUCCAGGUGCUGGCUCCAUAUUUGGUCCUACGUUCCUCCCAUUCCCAGGCCAGCUUUCUCUCCUUGUGUAAGUAGGAGGCAAAGUCAAGCACGCUUUCCUGAUAGUUCCAGUUAAAGUCCUGGGGCUGAUUCUCAUGAGUUCAGCUGACAUCAGGUGCCUGUCUCUGAGCCAGUCAUUGUGGCCAAGGCAAUAGAACGUUCUAGUUGGCCAGGCCUGAUUCUUUUCCCCACAAACCUGCCAUGUGGUGGUAAGGGAAGUUCUGCGAAGACGUUCAGGAUCCUGGGCCUGGAGAAGAGGCAUGAAUGUCCACCACAGGGGCUCUGCCGGUCAGGAUCAAGGUCACACUGGAUGAGGGAGUCCUGACCCUCUCCCGGGCUGAGCCCACCUGUGCUGCCCCCAGGACCCCAAGUACCAGGGUCUGCGGGCACGUGGCCGGGAGAUCCGGAAGGAGCUUGUUCACCUGUACCCCAGGGAGGCCCAGCUUGAGGAGCAGUUCUACCUGCAGGCGCUGAAGCUGCCCAACCAGACCCACCCAGACGUGCCCGUCGGGGAUGAGAGCCAGGCUCGAGUGCUCCACAUGGUCGGAGACAAGCCAGUUUUCUCCUUCCAACCUCGGGGCCACCUGGAAAUUGGCGAGAAACUCGACAUCAUCCGUCAGAAGCGCCUGUCCCACGUGUCUGGCCACCGGUCCUAUUACCUGCGCGGGGCUGGAGCCCUCCUGCAGCACGG